rnacentral:misc_RNA from 1 species
CGUCCAUAAUAACACCGCCUCUGAGCAUCUGGGCUAGACCCACCUUGACGGAAAAGGGGGACUUCUUAGUUUCGGUGAUUGCUCCAUUACCGUAAACAGCCACCACCCCAGUUCCUGCCAUUUCUAUAUAAGAUGGAAGGAGAAGGAGCAGACCGAAGAUAUAUAUAGAGAGAGAAGGAGAGAUUAAUGGGUUUUUCGAGAGAGAGAGAGAGAGAGAGAGAG